UUUUCUCUGGCCUCAAAGUAAAGACUAGGUAAUUUGGAUUUGAAAUGUGUGUACUUUGAUUUCCGUUCUUAGAAAAAAUAUAGUGGAGGUUGAUGUGGUCUCUGAGAUAGUUGCAGGCCUUUACAAAGGGUUGAUCUGGAAAAGAGACGUGCAGAGAAAGAACGGGCAGAAAAAGGGCACGUGCCUUAUGGACUUCCCAACCCACUGAACAUGAAACUUCACUGCAAUCAAUGGUAUUCCAACUAGCAGCCCAUCCACCCUUCCCAGCAUCUGAUAUGGGUUGGGGUAAAGAAUUAGGCCAAGUACAAGACUAAUAUACUAUUUUGGACUCUAUUUAUUUGGCUACUUGAAUUUGUAACAUUGUAUCUGAAGAUUGUAAUUUUUUUUUUAUACAUAAUGACUUGAGAUUUUAGAUUUAUAAUUAUUGAUUCUGUAAAGUGAAUGUAUUGAACAAUAAUUUCAAUUACAUGAAUGAAGUUUAUGUUGGCUUUAAUGAGGA